rnacentral:lncRNA from 1 species
GACUGGUACAUCGUUUGUAUAUUGGUAAGGCCUACAGUAUAUGGACUGGUACAUGGUGUGUAUAUUGGCAAGGUCUACAGUAUAUGGACUGGUACAUGGUGUGUAUAUUGGUUAUGUCUACAGUAUAUGGACUGGUUCAUGGUGUUUGUAUUGGUAAGGCCUACUGUAGAUGGACUGGUACAUGGUGAUUGUAUUGGUAAUGUCUACAGAAUAUGGACUGGAACAUGGUGUUUGUAUUGGUAAGGUCUACAGUAUAUGGACUGGUCCAUGGUGUUUGAAUUGGUAAAUUCUACAGUAUAUGGACUUUUAAAUGGUGUGUAUAUUGGUAAGAUCUACAUUAUAUGGACUGGUACUUGGUGUUUCUAUUGGUAAGGUCUACAGUAUAUGGACUGGUCCAUGGUGUUUCUAUUGGUAAGGUCUACAGUAUAUGGACUGGUACAUGGUGUAUGUAUUGGUAAGGCCUACAGUAUAUGGACUGGUAAUGAUGUUUGUAUUGGUACGGUCUACAGCAUAUGGACUGGUACAUGAUGUGUAUAUUGGUAAGGUCUACAGUAUAUGGACUGGUACAUGGUGUAUGUAUUGGUAAGGCCUACAGUAUAUGGACUGGUACAUGGUGUGUUUAUUGGUUAUGUCUACAGCGUAUGGACUGGUACAUCGUUUGUAUAUUGGUAAGGCCUACAGUAUAUGGACUGGUACAUGGUGUGUAUAUUGGCAAGGUCUACAGUAUAUGGACUGGUACAUGGUGUGUAUAUUGGUUAUGUCUACAGUAUAUGGACUGGUUCAUGGUGUUUGUAUUGGUAAGGCCUACUGUAGAUGGACUGGUACAUGGUGAUUGUAUUGGUAAUGUCUA